rnacentral:rRNA from 1 species
CGCUGGCGGCAGGCUUAACACAUGCAAGUCGAGCGCCCCGCAAGGGGAGCGGCAGACGGGUGAGUAACGCGUGGGAAUCUACCGUGCCCUAAGGAAUAGCUCCGGGAAACUGGAAUUAAUACCUUAUACGCCCUUCGGGGGAAAGAUUUAUCGGGGUAUGAUGAGCCCGCGUUGGAUUAGCUAGUUGGUGGGGUAAAGGCCUACCAAGGCGACGAUCCAUAGCUGGUCUGAGAGGAUGAUCAGCCACAUUGGGACUGAGACACGGCUCAAACUCCUACGGGAGGCAGCAGUGGGGAAUAUUGGACAAUGGGCGCAAGCCUGAUCCAGCCAUGCCGCGUGAGUGAUGAAGGCCCUAGGGUUGUAAAGCUCUUUCACCGGUGAAGAUAAUGACGGUAACCGGAGAAGAAGCCCCGGCU